rnacentral:rRNA from 1 species
CCUACGGGUGGCAGCAGUGAGGAAUAUUGGUCAAUGGUCGGGAGACUGAACCAGCCAAGUCGCGUGAGGGAUGAAGGUACAGAGUAUUGUAAACCUCUUUUGUCAGGGAAUAAAGGCCGGGACGUGUCCCCGGUUGAGUGUACCUGAAGAAAAAGCAUCGGCUAACUCCGUGCCAGCAGCCGCGGUAAUACGGAGGAUGCGAGCGUUAUCCGGAUUUAUUGGGUUUAAAGGGUUCGCAGGCGGUCUGUUAGGUCAGCGGUAAAAGCCCGGGGCUCAACCCCGGCCCGCCGUUGAAACUGGCAGUCUCGAGUUGGAGAGAGGUAUGCGGAAUGCGCGGUGUAGCGGUGAAAUGCAUAGAUAUCGCGCAGAACUCCGAUUGCGAAGGCAGCAUGCCGGCUCCACACUGACGCUGAGGCACGAAAGCGUGGGUAUCGAACAGGAUUAGAUACCCCUGUAGUC